rnacentral:rRNA from 1 species
UAGAGUUUGAAAGAUGGUUCUGCUAUCACUCUUGGAUGGACCUGCGGUGCAUUAGCUAGUUGGUAAGGUAACGGCUUACCAAGGCAAUGAUGCAUAGCCGAGUUGAGAGACUGAUCGGCCACAUUGGGACUGAGACACGGCCCAAACUCCUACGGGAGGCAGCAGUAGGGAAUCUUCCACAAUGGACGAAAGUCUGAUGGAGCAACGCCGCGUGAGUGAAGAAGGGUUUCGGCUCGUAAAGCUCUGUUGGUAGUGAAGAAAGAUAGAGGUAGUAACUGGCCUUUAUUUGACGGUAAUUACUUAGAAAGUCACGGCUAACUACGUGCCAGCAGCCGCGGUAAUACGUAGGUGGCAAGCGUUGUCCGGAUUUAUUGGGCGUAAAGCGAGUGCAGGCGGUUCAAUAAGUCUGAUGUGAAAGCCUUCGGCUCAACCGGAGAAUUGCAUCAGAAACUGUUGAACUUGAGUGCAGAAGAGGAGAGUGGAACUCCAUGUGUAGCGGUGGAAUGCGUAGAUAUAUGGAAGAACACCAGUGGCGAAGGCGGCUCUCUGGUCUGCAACUGACGCUGAGGCUCGAAAGCAUGGGUAGCGAACAGGAUUAGAUACCCUGGUAGUCCAUGCCGUAAACGAUGAGUGCUAAGUGUUGGGAGGUUUCCGCCACUCAGUGCUGCAGCUAACGCAUUAAGCACUCCGCCUGGGGAGUACGACCGCAAGGUUGAAACUCAAAGGAAUUGACGG